AACGAACGCUGGCGGCAUGCCUAACACAUGCAAGUCGAACGAAGGCUUCGGCCUUAGCGGCGCACGGGUGCGUAACGCGUGGGAAUCUGCCCCCUGGUUCGGAAUAACAGCGAGAAAUUGCUGCUAAUACCGGAUGAUGACGUAAGUCCAAAGAUUUAUCGCCAGGGGAUGAGCCCGCGUAGGAUUAGGUAGUUGGUGGGGUAAGAGCCUACCAAGCCGACGAUCCUUAGCUGGUCUGAGAGGAUGAUCAGCCACACUGGGACUGAGACACGGCCCAGACUCCUACGGGAGGCAGCAGUGGGGAAUUUUGGACAAUGGGGGCAACCCUGAUCCAGCCAUGCCGCGUGAGUGAAGAAGGCCUUAGGGUUGUAAAGCUCUUUUGCCAGGGACGAUAAUGACGGUACCUGGAGAAUAAGCCCCGGCAAACUUCGUGCCAGCCGCCGCAGUAAUAC
rnacentral:rRNA from 1 species